AAAAAAACACUGUUUCAUUUUUCACUUGAAACCAAACCUGGUUUAAAGCCCUUUUUUUUUUUCUUGCUUUUAAAGAAAACUUUUGUUCUUUCUUUUUAAAGAAAACCCUUAAUGCCUUGGAGUAUCUCUCAACUCCUUCACCUUCCUCCCUGCCUUAACAGCCCCAAAUCCGACGACGAACGAAGCCCUCCCUACAACGCGAGUAUGACGGUGGAGAAGAGCAACAUGGGGCGUGGGUGCGAUCGUGGAGCGGAGCACACAGGAGACAUGCGUGGAGGUGCUGGUGUUGCGUGCGUGGAACCUGUCACGAAGGCAGCAGUGGCGCAAAGGACCCCUUCCUUAGGGUUUCCUGGAAACUGUUAAGAAGAUGGGCCAACCGGACCUGCUUUGAUUUGGGUUAGGGGUCUAUUUAUUGGGCUUGUUUAAUGAAACUAGGCCAGUUUUAUUUUGGGUUUAUUUGUAAAGGGACUCAUUUGAUGAUCUGUUUUAAUUUUGGUUUUUUAUAUGUGUAGCCCGGACCAAUAUUGGGUCUUACACCCAUUAAUUUCUCUUGACAUUUCUUAUCAUUUGUCCCAUCCGUUCUCUCCUUUUGACGAUAGCGUUUCCCAAGGUUUUCAUUGUUUUCUAUCUCUUUUUAGACAUAAGUUCACUUCCAGUCUUUUUAGUCCAGAUUUCUAGUUCAUUGUUCCUCUACUCUCAUAUCAUGCUGAAUCGGCUCCUCGUUCACCAGAGAAGCAACAUUACGAUGAAUAAUCGAUUUCGUGGUCAAAACUUAGUUCAUCGGACCCCUAUCUACCAACCCCGACGCUGAUCUGAACUCUCUGUUGUUAAAUACGGCGUCGAGCUGGAUCUUCAUAAUCGGUACGUCUUCUCUAUUUCUUUGAUUGUGCCUCGUAUGUGAUGAAGUCAUUUUAACUUUAAUCCCUUUGUAUACUGCCACAUGAUCCUGAAUUUUUCGUGCGAGGUCUCUACUCGUUGUAUGUACCCGUUCAUGCAAAAGUUGGUUCCUUGAAUGCCACAGUAUCCAUAAGCCAUAACAAAAAUACCUGCAUUGUUCAUUUGUUCCUUGGUUGAAGAUCAGGGUGAGCCACUCCCAGAAAUCUUGAUGCACAAAAGUUGUGAUCCAAGAUAGAUUUAAAAGUUGCCAAACCUCUAUACUUGUGGAAUAUUGCCGAAAAAUAUGAUGACAGUCUUCAUUUUCAUCACCGUACCGGGGACAUCUGGCAUUUGUCAUUAACCUUCUAUGUCGUAGAUUGCUCAAUAUAGGAAUGUAAUUCCAUGAUAUGCGUCAGAUUAUGAUUGUGAUCUUAGGUGGUAAUUGUAGUUUCCAUAGUUUACUGAAAAAUUCCUUAGCUUCAGCCUGUAACAAAUAAUUACUAGGAUUCAGAUUAGCAAUUUGUAAUAGUUUAUAGGCACUAUGGACUGAGUAUUCCCCUAUUGGUUCGCCCCUCCAGACUUGGAAGUCCUCGUAUGCUGAUUCUGAUAAUGAAAUCUGUAAGAUUUUGCGAGCAGCCUUCAAGUAAAAGACCUGUUGUACCUUUCCAGUAAAUCAAUUCUUUGGACCCAUCGAUCAUUCCAUAUGGAGACUUUGUUCCCUUUACCGAUUCGCCAGCUUAGGCCUUGUUGAAGGAGCCCCUUAGCUGCCCAAAUACUCUUCCAGAUAAGUGAAGGUAUCGAACGCCAAUCUAAAUAAUCCUUAAUUCAAGCAGAGACUAAAGGCUGAUUUGUGAAGAAAGAUUUGCAAAAAGACGAAAGAAUGCCAGAAACAAAAGACAAGAAACAAGAAAACCUAGAUACUCAUGCUAGCAGCGACAGACUUUGACUUGCUAGGGUAGCAGACUGAUUUUUAAAACAUAGUUAAUUUUAAUUUCACUACUAUGUAGGAGAGUAACGAUUUAAUCGGUCAAUAUUUUUUAAAUUAA